GACGAACGCUGGCGGCGUGCCUAAUACAUGCAAGUCGAACGCAGGGGGGACGGGUGAGUAACACGUGGGUAACCUCCCAUCAGAGGGGAUAACACUUGGAAACAGGCGCUAAACCGACAUUGAUGGAUGAACCCGCGGUGCAUUAGCUGGUUGGUGGGGUAACGGCCUACCAAGGCCACGAUGCAUAGCCGGCCUGAGAGGUCGAUCGGCCACACUGGGACGGAGACACGGCCCAGACUCCUACGGUAGGCAGCAGUGGGGAAUCUUCGACAAUGGGCGAAAGUCUGACAGAGCAACGCCGCGUGGAUGAAGAAGGUUUUAGGAUCGUAAAGCUCUGUUGUUAGGGAGGCGGUAUCUGACCAGAAAGCCACGGCUAACUACGUGCCAGCAGCCGCGGUAAUUC
rnacentral:rRNA from 1 species